AAGACUAUACUUUUAGGCACAAUUUCUAUAGCUCAUUACCAGAGAAGUUCCUCUAAACAUGUAGAUCACUGGAAACCACAAGGAGGAGGUGCAGUGAAGCCAGCUCUUGGUGUUGCUUCACUGCAUCUGCUAUUUACCAUUGAUGAUCGUUCUUCUAUUCCUUCAGGAGAGUAAGAGGUAGAGAAUGCAGUCUGAGUGGA
rnacentral:snoRNA from 1 species